rnacentral:rRNA from 1 species
UACGAAGGGGGCUAGCGUUGUUCGGAAUCACUGGGCGUAAAGGGCGCGUAGGCGGCUUUAUAAGUCGGGGGUGAAAGCCUGUGGCUCAACCACAGAAUUGCCUUCGAUACUGUAGAGCUUGAGACCGGAAGAGGUAAGUGGAACUGCGAGUGUAGAGGUGAAAUUCGUAGAUAUUCGCAAGAACUCCAGUGGCGAAGGCGGCUUACUGGUCCGGUUCUGACGCUGAGGCGCGAAAGCGUGGGGAGCAAACAGG